AGAGUUUGAUCAUGGCUCAGAUUGAACGCUGGCGGAAUGCUUUACACAUGCAAGUCGAACGGUAACAGGUCUUCGGAUGCUGACGAGUGGCGAACGGGUGAGUAAUAUAUCGGAACGUGCCCAGUCGUGGGGGAUAACGUAGCGAAAGUUACGCUAAUACCGCAUACGAUCUACGGAUGAAAGCGGGGGAUCGCAAGACCUCGCGCGAUUGGAGCGGCCGAUAUCAGAUUAGGUAGUUGGUGGGGUAAAGGCUCACCAAGCCAACGAUCUGUAGCUGGUCUGAGAGGACGACCAGCCACACUGGAACUGAGACACGGUCCAGACUCCUACGGGAGGCAGCAGUGGGGAAUUUUGGACAAUGGACGCAAGUCUGAUCCAGCCAUUCCGCGUGCAGGAUGAAGGCCCUCGGGUUGUAAACUGCUUUUGUACAGAACGAAAAGGCUCUUCCUAAUACGAGGGGCUCAUGACGGUACUGUAAGAAUAAGCACCGGCUAACUACGUGCCAGCAGCCGCGGUAAU
rnacentral:rRNA from 1 species